ACUAGAUAAUAUAUGUACCUAUGGUAUAAUGAGUGUGAUUGACAUAGAUGAUUAUAACAUAGUUAACACCUUCGUCACGCGUCAUUGCACUCACAAUAUAUAAGGAACUGAACACUUUAAGACUUCACAAAGCAAAUCUGCAUCUGUUUUCAAUCGUUUCUCAAUAAAGACUCAGAAACAACAACGACAAUGGCUGCCCUGAAGACCACAUUCGUGUUGUUACUCAUAGCCUUCGCUAUGAUUGUUGUGACUGAUGCCGUCCACGUCGGGCCCUGCGACCAGGUCUGUUCUCGUAUCGACGCUGAGAAGGACGAGUGCUGCAGAGCUCAUGGCUACAGGGGCUUCAGAAGUUGUCGCGGCGGUAGAAUGGAUUGCCACUAGGCCCUUCUCAUCCCCAAUUUUACCUUCAUGACACUGGUUGAAUAUCUACAGGCUUUCGAAACUAUUCAUAUAUAUUAUUAUUGUUAACACUUCCUGUUGAAAUUGUACGUACCAUUAAAUUGUUGUCCUAAUAUUGUAAGAAAAAAAAAAAAACGUAAAAAAAAAGAAAAGAUAAUAAA
rnacentral:misc_RNA from 1 species